UACGUAGGGUGCGAGCGUUGUCCGGAAUUAUUGGGCGUAAAGAGCUCGUAGGCGGUGUGUCGCGUCGGCCGUGAAAACCUGGGGCUUAACUCUGGGCUUGCGGUCGAUACGGGCAUCACUGGAGUUCGGCAGGGGAGACUGGAAUCCGUGGUGUAGCGGUGAAAUGCGCAGAUAUCAGGAGGAACACCGGUGGCGAAGGCGGGUCUCUGGGCCGAUACUGACGCUGAGGAGCGAAAGCGUGGGGAGCGAACAGG
rnacentral:rRNA from 1 species